rnacentral:sRNA from 1 species
AAUAAUCUAAAAUAUUUGUAGAGCUCUUAUUUUAAACCUACAUCAUUUAUACGGGAGUUCAAUAUAUAAAUGUGGAUUAGUAAUAUAAGACCAACUAAGAGUGGCAAGGGCAGUGAAAACAUUUGUGAGAACACCCAUCUAUCGAGAGAUAGGUGUCAAAAUCAGAGCAUCGGUAUUUUGGAUUUACA